rnacentral:rRNA from 1 species
UGGGGAAUAUUGCACAAUGGGCGCAAGCCUGAUGCAGCAACGCCGCGUGAACGAUGAAGGUCUUCGGAUCGUAAAGUCCUGUUGCAGGGGAAGAUAAUGACGGUACCCUGUGAGGAAGCCCCGGCUAACUACGUGCCAGCAGCCGCGGUAAUACGUAGGGGGCUAGCGUUAUCCGGAUUUACUGGGCGUAAAGGGUGCGUAGGUGGUCUUUCAAGUCGGUGGUUAAAGGCUACGGCUCAACCGUAGUUAGCCUCCGAAACUGGAAGACUUGAGUGCAGGAGAGGAAAGUGGAAUUCCCAGUGUAGCGGUGAAAUGCGUAGAUAUUGGGAGGAACACCAGUAGCGAAGGCGGCUUUCUGGACUGCAACUGACACUGAGGCACGAAAGCGUGGGUAGCAAACAGG